rnacentral:tRNA from 1 species
CCAAAGUGCAAAUUUGGCAACGCACCCCGACAGGUGCCGGGGCUUCUCCCCCUC